CAGCCGCCGCGGUAAUACGUAGGUGGCAAGCGUUGUCCGGAAUUAUUGGGCGUAAAGGGCUCGCAGGCGGUUUCUUAAGUCUGAUGUGAAGGCCCCCGGCUCAACCGGGGAGGGUCAUUGGAAACUGGGAAACUUGAGUGCAGAAGAGGAGAGUGGAAUUCCACGUGUAGCGGUGAAAUGCGUAGAGAUGUGGAGGAACACCAGUGGCGAAGGCGACUCUCUGGUCUGUAACUGACGCUGAGGAGCGAAAGCGUGGGGAGCAAACAGGAUUAGAGACCCGAGUAGUCCCUGUCUCUUAUAC
rnacentral:rRNA from 1 species